GUUAGGAACUCCCAUCCCAGUAACCCCAGGUUUCGAAAAAGGCCUCAACAAUUCAUACGGCACUAUUCCGGCGCCAAAUCUGUUCUUCCUCUCUGGGUCAAGGUUCCUCUGAUCAAUUAUCCCGUCAAUCUCCUGCAUCCUCCCACUGAACUUCUGGAAUGCAGCAGCAAUAGCUGGAUUAUCCGCCCAUGCUGGCUCUGGAUCCUUUCCUAGGUACUCCUCAUCUGGCGAGUGGUUCGACAGAAUGUCGAGCACUGACAUCACAACGGUGGCUUGUAUUUGAGAGGGGAGGCAACUGAGCAAGGCAGACUCUGGCUUUACGAGGAAGCGUUCAUAUGCUCCGUUGCUCUCAUCCUCCACUGGCAUGUUGCUGCGGGCGACGGUGGGGCGGUUGGGGAAGUAGCCGGCAUAGUGGUACUGCCCAAAGUUUACGGCAGCAUGGUGGCCGGAGACGACCCAAAUGAUGGUGGUGAGGAUUUCGAUUAGGUCUGUCUGUGUAUUUAGUUUGGGCCACCAGGGCUCAUCUUUCUUGUCACCGUGGCCUUUCGUGCGGACCUCCGUCCACCAGGCUUGGAGCUCGACGUCCCCAAGGACAUCAGAGGCGGUGGGGUAGUAGUGCGAGACAUAGUCUGUUACCCACUCCUUGACCGAGGACCAGAUGAGGAGGCCGUCGUUGGCAUAGGGAUAGUCCUUGAUGGUGAGGCGGAGUCCAUGCUCUGCUGUUGGAUCCCUCACCGCCAUUCCCCUUUCUAUUAAAUCAUUUGGUAAGGCCUCUGAGUCGAACCUCCAGAGUUCACGGUAGGCGACAGAGCUAAUCUCCCCUGCGUACUUGCCGGGGAAGAAGGUCUGCUCAAUGAUCCCAUCUGCAUUGAUAAGGGAUUCACGAGCAAGUGCGUUGAUCUCCAUCGUGUAGCGGAAAUGUGGGUGGAGGAGCCGGUAGAUCGGGUGCAUCGCGCUCAGCUGUCGGUUGGCAGCAAUUAUGUAUGGCUCUGUGCAGCAGUGAGUCCUUAGCCAGUGACUGACAAGCUGGUGAACACCAGAGUCAUGAGCAAGUACGUGAGCCUUGGCUAGUCUCCAAAGCCAUGUUCCUGUGGCAUCCCAAGUGUGGGUGAACACCUUCUUCCACUGUGGCUUUGUGGGCGAGGCUGGCCGGGUAAGUUCGAUGGCGACCGGACGCAAAGUGUCAUCAGGCGUGAGGAAGAAGAGUGUGCGGGAUCCGUACAAUGUCAACCCCUCAAGCUCUCUCACCUUGAGCACAUAGGGCAGAAGCAAAUCAUGGUAGUCGAGUACGAAGAGUCGCUUUUCCUUCAGUGCCUGUUCUACGGUUGAAAAGCCUUUAAUUUGCUCUUCGAUUAUUUCUUUGGUGAUUGCUGACUCGGGCGAGCCAUAAAUAGCCGGAUCCAGUUUGCUUACCAGCGGGAAUUCCGUGACUAGCUGAAUACAGACUGGGUUGAGACCCGCAAGAGCUUGACGGGAGAACUCUUCGUCUCUGAACCAUGAGAAUUUGUCCCUUUCAAUAAUAGCGGGGGUCUCGAAGAGCAGGAUGCCCUCUUUCGUUUCUUCAAUUGCCUUGACAAGCCUCGGAAUGAUGCUGCGGAAAACACCUACGUUUUCCCCCAUUGGUAGGGUUACCCCCUCAUUG
rnacentral:misc_RNA from 1 species